CCGGUGGUGGGGAGUUACGUACCACAAGGAUCUUUUUUUUUUUUUUUUUUUCAUCUUUUUUUUUCUGUUUAAACCACUGUGUGCUUCUCCGGGAGGUGGGUUUGGUUUGGGGGCUGUAUUUGGGAGGGGUGCUUGCAAUGUGCAGCCACCUGAGAUGCAGCCUCCUGGCCAAGAGCUGCCUUGGCCGGGGAUUUGCAGGCGGGGAGCUGGGACAGCAGCAGGUGAGCACCGUGGGCAGCCACUGCGGCUGCUGAGUAUCACAUACCCCUUGGCCCUGCCAGAGCCCCACCGGCUGCUGGCCCCUUGGUGCGGCCAGGGUGGCCUCAUGGGAUCCGAGCUGGCUUUUUCCCAGCGGCACCAUUUAAACGUGAGUUGCCCAAGCUCUCUGGAGCCUUCUCGCUGCCCAUCCUUGAGCCAAAAUGAGCCAGCAUGUUGUUACGGCAGCUGCCCAAACCAGCCAUCUUCCCCCGAGGCUGGGGCGGACCCGAGGGACGUGGCUCUCUGGGGGCCAGCGGGUCUUUCCCUCUUGGUGGGAUGCGUGAUGCCGGAGAGACCGCGUGGCUUCACGCCAAAUAUACUUGAAAGCAGAGUUGGAGUUUCUCAUGCAUGAGGCUCCGACUCGAUGCACAGAAAUCCCGAGCAGGUAGCUGGCCUGUUUGCUCCUGCCAAGCUCGGGGCCGGGAGGUGGCUCUCCAUCGCCCGACGGAUCGGCCCUUUCAACGAUCAAGCCCUUCUGUGGCCAGCUAAGAUGCACAGAGGUUUUAUUUUUUAAAUGCACAUCUGUAAAACUGAGGCCAAUGAGGAGCACUGCAAUGAACACUGGGUUUUAUUGGCAUCCAGCUUCCUAGAAAUGGAGUUUGUGUUUUGCAGUUUCUCACCUGUGGCUCUGCCCUCUGCGUGGGGGCUGGGGGGGAGAGGGGGGGGUUCGCCUGUGGGCUUGGGCAAGUCCCCAUGUCCAAAAAGCCUGAAACCAGCCCCCAGCAGUGCCAUUACCCCAUUAGAGCCCCUGUGGGCAGAAAUAGGGGUGGGUUUAGGCAGUGAUCAGCUUCCUAAAGAUCUUUUAUAAUAAAUAAAGCCAUAAAGUG